UACAGAGGUCCCAAGCGUUGUUCGGAUUCACUGGGCGUAAAGGGUGCGUAGGUGGUGGGGUAAGUCGGAUGUGAAAUCUCCGAGCUCAACUCGGAAAUGGCAUUGGAAACUACCCUGCUAGAGGGUCGGAGGGGGGACUGGAAUACUUGGUGUAGCAGUGAAAUGCGUAGAUAUCAAGUGGAACACCAGUGGCGAAGGCGGGUUGCUGGGCCGACACUGACGCUGAUGCGCGAAAGCUAGGGGAGCGAACGGG
rnacentral:rRNA from 1 species